rnacentral:rRNA from 1 species
UGGGGAAUAUUGCACAAUGGGCGCAAGCCUGAUGCAGCCAUGCCGCGUGUGUGAAGAGGGCCUUCGGGUUGUAAAGCACUUUCAGCGGGGAGGAAGGCGAUAAGGUUAAUAACCUUGUCGAUUGACGUUACCCGCAGAAGAAGCACCGGCUAACUCCGUGCCAGCAGCCGCGGUAAUACGGAGGGUGCAAGCGUUAAUCGGAAUUACUGGGCGUAAAGCGCACGCAGGCGGUUGAUUGAGUCAGAUGUGAAAUCCCCGGGCUUAACCCGGGAAUUGCAUCUGAUACUGGUCAGCUAGAGUCUUGUAGAGGGGGGAAGAAUUCCAUGUGUAGCGGUGAAAUGCGUAGAGAUGUGGAGGAAUACCGGUGGCGAAGGCGGCCCCCUGGACAAAGACUGACGCUCAGGUGCGAAAGCGUGGGGAGCAAACAGG